rnacentral:rRNA from 1 species
CGGGUGAGUAACACGUGGAUAACCUACCUAUAAGACUGGGAUAACUUCGGGAAACCGGAGCUAAUACCGGAUAAUAUAUUGAACCGCAUGGUUCAAUAGUGAAAGACGGUUUUGCUGUCACUUAUAGAUGGAUCCGCGCCGCAUUAGCUAGUUGGUAAGGUAACGGCUUACCAAGGCAACGAUGCGUAGCCGACCUGAGAUGGUGAUCGGCCACACUGGAACUGAGACACGGUCCAG